rnacentral:rRNA from 1 species
AGUGAACGCUGGCGGUAGGCCUAACACAUGCAAGUCGAACGGCAGCACAGUAUGAGCUUGCUCUUACGGGUGGCGAGUGGCGGACGGGUGAGGAAUACAUCGGAAUCUACUUUUUCGUGGGGGAUAACGUAGGGAAACUUACGCUAAUACCGCAUACGACCUACGGGUGAAAGCAGGGGAUCUUCGGACCUUGCGCGAUUGAAUGAGCCGAUGUCGGAUUAGCUAGUUGGCGGGGUAAAGGCCCACCAAGGCGACGAUCCGUAGCUGGUCUGAGAGGAUGAUCAGCCACACUGGAACUGAGACACGGUCCAGACUCCUACGGGAGGCAGCAGUGGGGAAUAUUAGACAAUGGGCGCAAGCCUGAUCCAGCCAUACCGCGUGGGUGAAGAAGGCCUUCGGGUUGUAAAGCCCUUUUGUUGGGAAAGAAAAGCAGCAGGUUAAUACCCCGCUGUUCUGACGGUACCCAAAGAAUAAGCACCGGCUAACUUCGUG